rnacentral:rRNA from 1 species
AGAGUUUGAUCCUGGCUCAGAACGAACGCUGGCGGCGUGGAUAAGACAUGCAAGUCGAACGGGAUUUCUUUUGGUAGCAAUACCGAAAGAAAUCUAGUGGCGAACGGGUGCGUAACACGUGGGCAAUCUGCCUUAAAGUGGGGGAUAGCUCGGCGAAAGCCGAAUUAAUACCGCAUGUGAUCAGGGGAGACAUCUUCCCGAAAUCAAAAGUGGCGCAAGCUACUGCUUUUUGAGGAGCCCGCGGCCUAUCAGCUAGUUGGUGAGGUGAUGGCUCACCAAGGCUUUGACGGGUAGCUGGUCUGAGAGGACGACCAGUCACACUGGAACUGAGACACGGUCCAGACACCUACGGGUGGCAGCAGUCGAGAAUUUUUCUCAAUGGGGGAAUCCCUGAAGGAGCGACGCCGCGUGGAGGAUGAAGGUCUUCGGGUUGUAAACUCCUGUCAUUUGGGAACAAGUGCCGGUACGUAGGUGCUACCGGCUUGAUAGUACCAGAAGAGGAAGGGACGGCUAACUCUGUGCCAGCAGCCGCGGUAAUACAGAGGUCCCAAGCGUUGUUCGGAUUCAUUGGGCGUAAAGGGUGUGUAGGUGGCGCCGUAAGUCGGGUGUGAAAUCUCGGGGCUUAACUCCGAAACUGCAUUCGAUACUGCGGUGCUUGAGGACUGGAGAGGAGACUGGAAUUCAUGGUGUAGCAGUGAAAUGCGUAGAGAUCAUGAGGAAGACCAGUGGCGAAGCGGGUCUCUGGACAGUUCCUGACACUGAGACACGAAGGCCAGGGGAGCAACGGGAUUAGAUACCCCGGUAGUCC